GGAUUUUGAGGUGGGAAAGGUUCCCCACGCGCUUGCUUUGGCAAGUUACCAGAGAUGCAGGAUACGCCGACCUGCCAAAGUUC
rnacentral:ncRNA from 12 species